AAGCAGUUCAGAAAAUGAAGGGGGAAAGUCUAUAAGACAGUAGUGAGUCCAGCUAUUGUAUGGCUUAGAGGUGGUGGCACUAACAAAAGACAGGAGGAAGAGCUGGAGGUGACAGAGCUGAAGAUGUUGAGAUUUUCUUUGGAAUGGCAAGAAUAGAUAGGAUU